rnacentral:tRNA from 1 species
GGGGGUUUAGCUCAUCUGGAUAGAGCAUCGGUUUUCUAAACCGAGGGUAACAGGUUCGAGUCCUGUAACCCCUACCA